UACCGAGGAGCCAAGCGUUGUCCGGAUUGACUGGGCGUAAAGCGCACGCAGGCGGAUGCGCGCGUGGGGUGUGAAAUCUGGCCGCUUAACGGCCAGGCGCCAUCCCAUACGGCGCGUCUGGAGUGAUGCAGAGGUCGAUGGAAUUGCCGGUGUAGUGGUGAAAUGCGUAGAGAUCGGCAGGAACACCCAGGGGGAAACCAGUCGACUGGGCAUCUACUGACGCUGAGGUGCGAGAGCGUGGGGAGCGAACCGG
rnacentral:rRNA from 1 species